rnacentral:tRNA from 1 species
UUAAUUGAAGCCAAAGAGAGGCAUAUUACUGUUAAUGAUAUAAAUGAAAUAAAUUUUCCAAUUAAA